GUCUUAAUUGGGCGUUAAGUUGCAGGGUAUAGACCCGAAACCCGGUGAUCUAGCCAUGGGCAGGUUGAAGGUUGGGUAACACUAACUGGAGGACCGAACCGACUAAUGUUGAAAAAUUAGCGGAUGACCUGUGGCUGGGGGUGAAAGGCCAAUCAAACCGGGAGAUAGCUGGUUCUCCCCGAAAGCUAUUUAGGUAGCGCCUCGUGAAUUCAUCUCCGGGGGUAGAGCACUGUUUCGGCUAGGGGGCCAUCCCGGCUUACCAACCCGAUGCAAACUGCGAAUACCGGAGAAUGUUAUCACGGGAGACACACGGCGGGUGCUAACGUCCGUCGUGAAGAGGGAAACAACCCAGACCGCCAGCUAAGGUCCCAAAGUCAUGGUUAAGUGGGAAACGAUGUGGGAAGGCCCAGACAGCCAGGAUGUUGGCUUAGAAGCAGCCAUCAUUUAAAGAAAGCGUAAUAGCUCACUGGUCGAGUCGGCCUGCGCGGAAGAUGUAACGGGGCUAAACCAUGCACCGAAGCUGCGGCAGCGAACGUAUCACCCAAGACAACUUUACGGAGUUGACGAUUGACGGAGCGAAGCGACGUCAAAGCGUUCAUUAAAGUCGAGUUGGCUUAGGGAUACGUUCGUUGGGUAGGGGAGCGUUCUGUAAGCCUGUGAAGGUGUGUCGUGAGGCAUGCUGGAGGUAUCAGAAGUGCGAAUGCUGACAUAAGUAACGAUAAAGCGGGUGAAAAGCCCGCUCGCCGGAAGACCAAGGGUUCCUGUCCAACGUUAAUCGGGGCAGGGUGAGUCGACCCCUAAGGCGAGGCCGAAAGGCGUAGUCGAUGGGAAACGGGUUAAUAUUCCCGUACUUGGUGUUACUGCGAAGGGGGGACGGAGAAGGCUAUGUUGGCCGGGCGACGGUUGUCCCGGUUUAAGCGUGUAGGUGUGUGUUCCAGGUAAAUCCGGUUCACUUUAACACUG
rnacentral:rRNA from 2 species